rnacentral:rRNA from 1 species
UACGUAGGGUGCAAGCGUUAUCCGGAAUUACUGGGGCGAAAGAGCUCGUAGGCGGUUUGUCGCGUCUGCUGUGAAAACCUAAGGCUCAACCUUGGGCUUGCAGUGGGUACGGGCAGACUAGAGUGCGGUAGGGGUGACUGGAAUUCCUGGUGUAGCGGUGGAAUGCGCAGAUAUCAGGAGGAACACCGGGUGGCGAAGGCGGGUCUCUGGGCAACAACGUGACGC